rnacentral:rRNA from 1 species
UACGUAGGGUGCGAGCGUUAAUCGGAAUUACUGGGCGUAAAGCGUGCGCAGGCGGUUCGUUGUGUCGGUGGUGAAAUCCCCGGGCUUAACCUGGGAAUGGCCAUGGAAACUGGCGAGCUGGAGUGUGGCAGAGGGGGGUGGAAUUCCGCGUGUAGCAGUGAAAUGCGUAGAGAUGCGGAGGAACACCGAUGGCGAAGGCAGCCCCCUGGGCUAGCACUGACGCUCAGGCACGAAAGCGUGGGGAGCAAACAGG